AAUGAACUUAAAAAAAAAAAAUGAACUUAAAAAAACCACACACACACAAAUAAGAUAAACAGCCAAAAAGAAAGUGGUUAAUUUUAGGUGCAUUUUAUGCGCCUUUAACGUCAGUGAAAAGAAUUCUGCAGAAAACCCACACCUGAAUAAGUUUACUAUAUAGGAAAGCUUUCUGGCUCUUUACAUGGUCUUGAUCAUUGGGUGAGUUUUGUGAAGAAAGGUCUCCUCGACUUCUCUACAUUUUUUUCUGAAGGCAGUAGCGUCGUCUUGGUUUUCUGUACCUCCACGAGUCCUCAAGUUCUGUUUUAGGUGCUGUUUUCAUUUAUUCACUUGGUGUCCCGGAGAAUGGUAAUGAAUAUGUGAUCCCGGACGGAGGACUGCAACCUGGCUGUGCAACUUUGGCAGGCAGCUUAACCUCUCUGGUCUCAGCGAGACACCAAUUAGAUUAUUUCUUGGGACUCAGAGUUUGACAGUGCUAGGUUUAAGAAACGGGCAGUGCAUUGUUAGGUUCCCUUUAAAUAUUCUGCCAGCUAAUUCCUCUGGUUCUUUUACUUUGAAUUCAUUUAUCAAACCUUGCUAGACAGACAGGAAAAAAAAAAUUAUACUUUGAAUUAGCCUUCUUUUUUUUUCCCCAUUAAAUCUCAUUAAUGAGGAAAACAUUCAUUUCCAUAUCUAUUUUGACCACGGGGAAACUUUUCUUCGUGUUUUUUAAGAUAAAAAUGCCCAAAGCGUGAAAUUGACGUACUUUUAAGGUUAGAAAAGCCUCAAAAAUGAUUUUUAUCUUUAAUUAUAAUACGUAUCAAAAGAUAACGCACUGCAAUAACUUAAUAGCCCAUCAAAACACUAUCUUCAAGGGUCAUUUAGCAUUUCCAUGAUAAAUUGCUAUUUUUAGAAGCUUAUGUAACCAAACAAAGAAUGUGUUCUUGGCUAUGGCCAUGAAGACAAGUUAUUAUCGUGGGAGGGACAAAGGAAUCUGAGAGGCCCAUGAGAGACGGAUCCAAUCGCAGAGGACAUUUUAUAGAGUGCCCUUUCUCUUCAGUCUCCAUUUUCUGCAAUCAGGAUAAUGUAGUGCAUUUCAGAGCCAUUUUCCUUUUUGAAGUGCUCUUUCCUCAUUAGUUAAUAAAUACUCAUCAAUGAAUUUUCCUCCUCGUCUUGGAAGUUGGGAGUAAAAAGAAAGAUAAUCGCUUUCUGUUUCGCAAAGAUGGGCUGUCUGGAAAGCUGGACUCAGCCUGGAGCCUGCUACCCAGAUUGCGAUUUUGUGAAGACUUCCGCAUACAAAUGACUCAGAUGCAAACAUUCAGAAAUGAUCUUGGAGGGCCAUCUGGUCCUUGCUGGUUCUAAAAGCUUCAUUCAGCCUGGUGGAUGGAGCCCGUGCAAAAGAGAGUGAGGGCCCCGCACUGAGGUUUAAAUACGUUCCCCUGACCGAGGCGAGAAGCUGACUUUCGAAAUAGCUGAGGCUCGAGGGCCAGCUGAUGUCGCCUCCCUCUUAUAGAUGCUGGCGUUCUGCAUUCGGCCAUUCCCGUCUUUCCACGACUGUGGUGCUCCAGGAGAUCUGCCCUACAAGAUCUGGAAUACCGUCAGAUGAAAGAAACUG